rnacentral:tRNA from 1 species
GAAUAUGAAGCAAUUAUGCAAUUAGUUUCGACCUAGUAUUAUGGUAUUUGUUUACCCUUAUUCU